rnacentral:SRP_RNA from 1 species
CAUUUAAAAAUGAGUGCCGCAUUGCGGCUUUUUUCUUCUGAAUUGAAGAACAAUAAUGGUUUUUCUGUAAGGCUGUAGCGGCAGGUCCUGCGCGAUGGAGGCCUGUGAACCGUGUCAGGUCCGGAAGGAAGCAGCACUAAGCGGAUACCUGCAUGCGCCGCGGGGGUGCCUGCCCUGCGGUCUUACAGGAAAACCGGUUGAGAG